UCCGGCCGCCCUCUUCCUCCCUGUUCCCUCCCAUCCCUCCUACUACAGCCAGGGCUGUAGCCGCCCUCUUCUCUCCCCGUACCCCUCUUCCUCCCUGUUCCUUCCCACCCCUUCUCCCGCAGGCUCCAGCUGUGGUGGUGGGGGUGAGCAGCUGCCGUCCGGUGGCCUGGGGAGUGAGGAGGGCGCCGUUCUAAAGCACGAGAGCUCGGCGCAUGGCGACAGUAUAGAUCGGCUACAGCGGCGGCGACGGCCCAACGGCGAAAGGGGAUGGCUGCAUGAUGAUCUUGUUCUGAUCAAUUCUGAAAUAGGAAUGGAGGACUACUAUGGGUCGCUGUUGAGGAUGCUGGGUUACCUGACAGUAGUUUACUUGCCAGAUUUUAAAUUGGAGCUUAGCAUGAACUGAAGAGAGGAUACUUCAACAUGUAUGUGCUGAAAGGCAAAUUAACUUGGAAGUUUAUUGUAACUGGUACACAGUAUUGGCAUUAAAAGCGCGAGCGCUGUGAGGGAAGCCAAGCAAGUUCCUGCUAGAUCGUGAAGAAAUACACUUUGUCUUAUGAGAUCAUCCUGAUUGUCAUCAAAAGCAAAGGUCCCUAAACAAGCAAAUUGCAUUUAUGUGCUCUGACAUCUUCGUGUUACUUUUAGUGGGAAGCAGUACAAAGUGUCAAUUUCACAUGCCAAUACUAAUUAUUCACCUAGCUUAUGCAAAUUAUCCAGCAUUUUCCGUUCAGAUAUGAUCUGCUGCAAACACCAUAAGUCACCACUCACCAGCACAUGACCGUUCCCUCUAGAACUUUGACCGUCGUGUCAUUUGAUGGAGAAAGAACAAGAUGGCCGAGCGACAAACUGAACAACGCCGGAAAGCUGCAACAAACGAGUGGUGGCAGCGCAUACACUUGUUGAGCUGUGGAGGCACCCAUUAGCCACCCACCCACCCAUGGAACAGAGAUUGAUAUAUUGAAGUUUGUAAUGGCUAAUGGCCAAACAUAUGAAUCUGUUCUUGAUACUCCUUUUCCCUUUUCUUAAUAUCAUCACAUAAAAAUUAGAAGCUUUCUAACAUAUGCAUAUUUCAGGUUUCAGAAGAGGUGGAGAAAGAGUUGUUCAGACAAUUCAGUGCAGAAGCAACACCUCCAAGGUGAGAAAUAUGUUUCUGUUUAGCCUUCUUUGCUAGCUAUGUUCCUCUGUUUUUUUACUGAACUGUGCUCCUCUGUUUGGAUGAUUAUUGGAGAGAAAGAGAGAUGAUAUGGAGACCACGAGUAUGUGUGUAUGGAUCGUGGAGUGGUAGAUUUUGGGCCAAAUACAUUAUAACCGGCAACCAACUUGAUAAACAGAUUCAUUACCCUCUCCUUUGAAAUGAAUUUUUGCUUGGAACAUUUCUUAUUUCUUUAUCUGUUAGUGCUUGAUUCUAUCUCUGCUCUGUCUGAGGCCACCGGCGCCGAUGUGACCGAGGUGGAGGCGACCAGCAAGAGGGAGGCUAGCGCGACCAAUUUCCUCGAGCUGUUCAACUUAUUAGUCCUUGCAAUUCCAAAUUCACAUAGGUAUGUAGGCUGUAACGGCACCGCUGUAGCCAUCGCUGCCUUCUCCAAUCCUUGGUAGCAGAUUAAUGCAUAGUAGGUGAGUGCUUCAGGCUGUAGAUUUGGCUCGCUUCCUGAGUACCUCAUGUCUCAUGUGGUUAAAGCUAUGCGAGUAAUUAUGAAGGCUUGAUCACCAGGAAACAUCCAUGUCAAUUAUGUGUUUGCUGAAUUUCCUUAAGCAUAUGGGAUUCAGUUGUUUGAUGAAUUGCCCCCAAAAGGUUUUGAUGAAUUUCCUUAAGUAGGCUUCUUUUCAUAGUUAAUUUCAGUAGAUCUUGCUUUAUCUGUACACAUGAAUGUAAGGAUCUGUACAAUUUGUUGAUGGUUUGGCAAGUAAUGUAAAUCUUC